rnacentral:misc_RNA from 1 species
UUUGGUUUUUCUCCCUUUAUUAUACAUGUUCAGAAAGUAAAGAUAUCAUUUGCAAUGGUAGGAUCAUUCUAUUGUUCUUUUUCUUGUGGAGUGUUUUCAUUGACAUAGGCUUGAUAUACCNNNNNAAAUUUCUAUGUUGUAUUAACUAAACAAGGGAGUUUUAUAAUAUGUUCAAGCCAGGAGGUGCGUAUACAAAUAACCCGACAAAACUCCAGAAACAAAAUUGACUAAAUUGGUGGCUAAACUGAAAAAAAAAAAAAAAAAAACAUAGGAAGCACUAGCUUUUUCAUAGCUUUCUGCUUUUGCCUUUUCGUG